GCAAUUAUACCGUGAAACUGCGAAUGGCUCAUUAAAUCAGUUAUCGUUUAUUUGAUAGUACCUUACUACUUGGAUAACCGUGGUAAUUCUAGAGCUAAUACAUGCUAAAAACCCCAACUUCGGGAGGGGUGUAUUUAUUAGAUAAAAAACCAAUGCCCUUCGGGGCUCCUUGGUGAUUCAUGAUAACUUCUCAGAUCGCAUGGCUUUACGCCGGCGACGGUUCAUUCAAAUUUCUGCCCUAUCAACUUUCGAUGGUAAGGUAUUGGCUUACCAUGGUUUCAACGGGUAACGGGGAAUUAGGGUUCGAUUCCGGAGAGGGAGCCUGAGAAACGGCUACCACAUCCAAGGAAGGCAGCAGGCGCGCAAAUUACCCAAUUCCGAUACGGAGAGGUAGUGACAAUAAAUACUGAUACAGGGCUCUUUUGGGUCUUGUAAUUGGAAUGAGUACAAUUUAAACCUCUUAACGAGGAACAAUUGGAGGGCAAGUCUGGUGCCAGCAGCCGCGGUAAUUCCAGCUCCAAUAGCGUAUAUUAAAGUUGUUGCAGUUAAAAAGCUCGUAGUUGAACCUUUGGCCUGGCUGGCAGGUCCGCCUCACCGCGUGCACUUGUCCGGCCGGGCCUUUUCUUCUGGAGAACCGCAUGCCCUUCACUGGGUGUGUUGGGGACCAGGACUUUUACUUUGAAAAAAUUAGAGUGUUCAAAGCAGGCCUUUGCUCGAAUACGUUAGCAUGGAAUAAUAGAAUAGGACGUGCGGUCCUAUUUUGUUGGUUUCUAGGACCGCCGUAAUGAUUAAUAGGGACAGUCGGGGGCAUCAGUAUUCAAUUGUCAGAGGUGAAAUUCUUGGAUUUAUUGAAGACUAACUACUGCGAAAGCAUUUGCCAAGGAUGUUUUCAUUAAUCAGUGAACGAAGUUAGGGGAUCGAAGACGAUCAGAUACCGUCGUAGUCU
rnacentral:rRNA from 1 species